rnacentral:rRNA from 1 species
CCUACGGGCGGCAGCAGUGGGGAAUAUUGGACAAUGGGCGAAAGCCUGAUCCAGCCAUGCCGCGUGUGUGAAGAAGGCCUUCGGGUUGUAAAGCACUUUCAGUGGGGAAGAAAGCCUUGGGGCUAAUACCCUCGAGGAAGGACAUCACCCACAGAAGAAGCACCGGCUAACUCCGUGCCAGCAGCCGCGGUAAUACGGAGGGUGCGAGCGUUAAUCGGAAUUACCGGGCGUAAAGCGCGCGUAGGCGGUCUGAUAAGCCGGUUGUGAAAGCCCCGGGCUCAACCUGGGAACGGCAUCCGGAACUGUCAGGCUAGAGUGCAGGAGAGGAAGGUAGAAUUCCCGGUGUAGCGGUGAAAUGCGUAGAGAUCGGGAGGAAUACCAGUGGCGAAGGCGGCCUUCUGGACUGACACUGACGCUGAGGUGCGAAAGCGUGGGUAGCAAACAGGAUUAGAUACCCUUGUAGUC